CGCCAAUGAGAUUUGGGAGGCCUUCUCGUUUGAUUGUCUCACUGGUACUCAUAUCUUGAUAGUGGAGCUGCCGGAAGCUGUUUAUACUGAUACCAAGAGGAAGUGUUUAUCCAGAAACUGAAGUUCCAACGAUUCGGCAUUGUUCCUGUGAAAUAUAAGAGCACUGAUUAGACUUCAACAGAAGCAUUCCGAGAUAGCAAGUCUUUUGUGGGUACAAAUUGGAUGUCAGGCAGCAACGAAAUGUGUGUGGUAGCACUGUUAUGAUGCUUAGGAAACAGAAGGCUGUCCAACAAAAGAAUUGCAAUGCUCAACUGUUUAGUACGUAGUACCAAUAAGUUCAUUCUGGAAGGCCUCUCGCAAAAAACAAAGUAUCAAAUUUUCAUUAACAAAGGGGAAAUCAAUACAUCUAUUUGCAUGCAGUGUAUUUUGCCACCACAAAGCUGUCAGUUAUCGAUAAUGGAUCUGGACUGGACGUCACACUGACACAUGGUUUGGGAAAUAAGAACAGAAUUUGGACCGGGGAUGUAAGGUCAGGUCACAGCUUUCUUUCAUCACCAUCAAAGUCAACUACCAAAAAAGUCUUCACACAAGAAAUCAUCAAGGUUAAAAAUGUGCUAUUAGAUGCUCUGUGAUAGCGUGCUGCGACACUUCUCUAGCAGAGUGUCUAGCGAAGUACUCGAGUGAGUUAUUGACUUCUCUAGCGGUGGCGUGAGGAGGCAACCUGACGAGGAGCUGCGAUGGCGAGAAGAGGAGGACCGGCAGCAGCAGCGGCAUGAGAAGAGUUGUGAAGUGGAGACGCCCUCGUAAAGCAGAUCAUAUGCGGAUGGCAUGGAUGUAUGGAUGGUUUAGAUGGCCAGCUAGAAGGGUUGACAAAGCUAGGGUUCCACAUGGGCCAGAUAUAUAUGCCCCUAUUCGAAACAUGGCAACAUGGGACAUCAUCUUCCCACACUCCACGAGCGACACUAUCCCAUCAGCACGGCCACAGAAUAUCUCCUCAUUGGUUUUCUGAAUACCUUUUCCCUCAAAAAAAAAACGUCUCUGAAUACUUUCCUGUUUCCUAGGCAAACAAGACAAACUACCUACACUAACCUCAGCAUAUUAGAUCCGAAGUUAGAGCUGCUAUCACUUAAAGCAUAUGAAUACUAGGUGCACUCAAAGGUUAUCAGAAAAACCAAAGUAUAAAGCUGAUUAAACCCAAGUACUACAAGGGAAGCCUUUUAAUCCCUGCAAGCUAGGUGAGCAACGUGCUGGUUAUCGGUUACUCUAGUUUCAAAAUUAAUAUACCUUGAAGAAACAUGAACUGUAAGUAGUUCCUUGACUUCAAUAUCCACACCUUCCAUCAAUAAAAAUGUGUAUCACCUUCAGUUACGAAUACAUGAAACAAAUUUCUUUUUUACCUCUCUAGCAUACCAUUAUCCUUAUUUCUCAAUAGUAUCUUAGGUAUUUAGCCUUCACAUGUGUAUAUUUGUCAAACUAGUAGACUUAAACGCAAACAUUCUUUUAAUUCUUGCUUUUAAGGAGGUCUAACAAAAGGCACACACUUUUAAUACAACUACAUUUUGACUAAAUUUGAACAGCAGACUAAGACCAUUUCUUGCCAGCCUAAUUUAUUAGGAAAGCACUGAAAAUGGUGAACGUCUUCGUGAUAAAAAAAGUAAACCGGCAUGCUAACAGACUGCUUAAAUACUGAAAGCUAACCUGAAAAUCCUUGAUGACAUCCAUAUAUUCAACAUAUCCAACAUAGCAAUAUGACCUUUUCGUCCACCUAUAUCACACGGCAU
rnacentral:lncRNA from 1 species